rnacentral:ribozyme from 1 species
AAGAAGAAAAACUGAAAAAGCAACGAAUGCCAAGACUAGGGGAAAAAAUAAAAUUUUGUGUCAUUUUGUGUUCUUCGGGUUGGUGGUUGGUGUUCUUGUUUUCUUUUCUUUUUU